UUACAGCCGUUGCUGCUACUUUCAUUUUCUUGGAUUCAUCAUUUUCGGCCUCAUUUUUAAUUGCAACCAGUGGCCCUAUGGCAUUGUUUUAGCUGCUACUCUUUUGCGUUGAGAAAAUCAGAAGAUGAGUAAGCCUAGUUAUGAAUUCAGUAGGGAACCUUCAACUUGCAUUCCUUCGAGGGAGGGAUAUGAGCUGCCCAUUGAACCCAUAUUUGAUAUUGGCAUCAAUAAAAUCAAUGACUUCAUUAUUAUUA